CCUACGGGGGGGCAGCAGUGGGGAAUAUUGGACAAUGGGCGAAAGCCUGAUCCAGCCAUGCCGCGUGUGUGAAGAAGGCCUUCGGGUUGUAAAGCACUUUCAGUGGGGAAGAAAGCCUUGGGGCUAAUACCCUCGAGGAAGGACAUCACCCACAGAAGAAGCACCGGCUAACUCCGUGCCAGCAGCCGCGGUAAUACGGAGGGUGCGAGCGUUAAUCGGAAUUACUGGGCGUAAAGCGCGCGUAGGCGGUCUGAUAAGCCGGUUGUGAAAGCCCCGGGCUCAACCUGGGAACGGCAUCCGGAACUGUCAGGCUAGAGUGCAGGAGAGGAAGGUAGAAUUCCCGGUGUAGCGGUGAAAUGCGUAGAGAUCGGGAGGAAUACCAGUGGCGAAGGCGGCCUUCUGGACUGACACUGACGCUGAGGUGCGAAAGCGUGGGUAGCAAACAGGAUUAGAUACCCGGGUAGUC
rnacentral:rRNA from 1 species